rnacentral:rRNA from 1 species
UACAGAGGGUGCGAGCGUUAAUCGGAUUUACUGGGCGUAAAGGGAGCGUAGGCGGUUUGGUAAGCCCUCCGGGAAAUCUUCGGGCUCAACCCGGAAAGGUCGGAGGGGACUGCCUGGCUAGAGGACGGGAGAGGAGCGCGGAAUUCCCGGUGUAGCGGUGAAAUGCGUAGAGAUCGGGAGGAAGGCCGGUGGCGAAGGCGGCGCUCUGGAACGUUCCUGACGCUC